AUUGAACGCUGGCGGCAGGCCUAACACAUGCAAGUCGAGCGAGCGGCGGACGGGUGAGUAAUGUAUGGGGACUGCCCGAUAGAGGGGGAUAACUACUGGAAACGGUAGCUAAUACCGCAUACUAUCGGAUAACCCAUAUGGGAUUAGCUAGUUGGUGAGGUAAUGGCUCACCAAGGCAAGGAUCCCUAGCUGGUCUGAGAGGAUGAUCAGCAAAACUGGGACUGAGAAACGUCCCUGAUCCCUACGGAGGCAGCGGUGGGAAAUAUUGCACAAGGGGCGCAAGCCUGAGGCAGCCAUGCAGAGUGUAUGAAGAAGGCCCUAGGGUUGUAAAGUACUUUCAGUCGGGAGGCGUGACCGACAGAAGAAGCACCGGCUAACUCCGUGCCAGCAGCCGCGGUAAUUC
rnacentral:rRNA from 1 species